GCCGUCCAGGACGGCGAAACGAGACAGUUUGCCACUAAACUGGACACUUCUUUCAUAUUCGUCCAAACAUGGAUAAUAACGACACAUAUCUCCAUCUCA
ensembl:processed_transcript rxrga retinoid x receptor, gamma a